UACGAAGGGGGCUAGCGUUGCUCGGAAUGACUGGGCGUAAAGGGCGCGUAGGCGGCUCAUACAGUCAGGCGUGAAAUUCCUGGGCUCAACCUGGGGACUGCGCUUGAGACGUGUGGGCUUGAGUGGGGAAGAGGGUCGUGGAAUUCCCAGUGUAGAGGUGAAAUUCGUAGAUAUUGGGAAGAACACCAGGUGGCGAAGGCGGCCGACCUGGGUCCU
rnacentral:rRNA from 1 species